AACGGCCGCGGUAUUUUGACCGUGCAAAGGUAGCGCAAUCACUUGUCUUUUAAAUGGAGACCUGUAUGAAUGGCACAACGAGGGCUUAACUGUCUCCUUUUUCUAGUCAGUGAAAUUGAUCUUCCCGUGCAGAAGCGGGAAUAACAUCAUAAGACGAGAAGACCCUGUGGAGCUUUAGACAAUAAGCAGAGCAAGCUAAAUGCUUUUAAAUUAAAAAAAUUAAACUUGCGCACCCUACUUAAAUGUCUUUGGUUGGGGCGACCGCGGGGAAAACAAAACCCCCAUGUGGAACGAGAGGACAUCACUCUAAAGCUAAGAACCCCAGUUCUAAGCGACAGAACUUCUGACCAGAACGAUCCGGCUGAGGCCGAUCAACGGACCGAGUUACCCCAGGGAUAACAGCGCAAUCCCCUUUAAGAGCCCAUAUCGACAAGGGGGUUUACGACCUCGAUGUUGGAUCAGGACACCCUAAUGGU
rnacentral:rRNA from 1 species